CCUACGGGAGGCUGCAGUGAGGAAUUUUCGUCAAUGGACGAGAGUCUGAACCAGCCAAGUAGCGUGAAGGAUGACUGCCCUAUGGGUUGUAAACUUCUUUUAUAUGGGACUAAAAUGUUCCACGUGUGGGAUUUUGUAUGUACCAUAUGAAUUAGGAUCGGCUAACUCCGUGACAGCAGCCGCGGUAAUACGGAGGAUCCGAGCGUUAUCCGGUUUUAUUGGGUUUAAAGGGAGCGUAGGUGGAUUGUUAAGUCAGUUGUGAAAGUUUGCGGCUCAACCGGAAAAUUGCAGUUGAAACUGGCAGUCUUGAGUACAGUAGAGGUGGGCGGAAUUCGUGGUGUAGCGGUGAAAUGCGUAGAUAUCACGAAGAACUCCGAUUGCGAAGGCAGUUCACUGGACUGCAACUGACACUGAGGCUCGAAAGUGUGGGUAGCAAACAGGAUUAGAUACCCGUGUAGUC
rnacentral:rRNA from 1 species